rnacentral:lncRNA from 1 species
UUUUAUCAUAUGCUUUAGUUUAUAACAAUAUGAAUUUUAAUAAGAAAGAAUAAAUUAAUUUAAUAUAUCUUGAUGUCUUGCCAAACACUAUUUUAAUUUAUUCUUUCUUAUUAAAAUUCAUAUUGUUAUAAUAAAUUAAUUUAAAAAAUUAUUUAAUUUAUUCUUUCUUAUUAAAAAAAUUAAUUUUACCAGUUAUGGCAUCAGGAACAUGCUAGGAGAAAAUAGAACCAAACACCUUCAUAUGAGUCACUGAUGGUCG